UGGCUUAAGAGUUCAUUUCUUUUUUUUUUUUUUAAUUGGUGAAUGAUAUUCCGUUUUCUGGAUGUACCACUGUUUAUGUAUCCAUUCACCUCCCAAGAGGCAUUUCAGUUACUGUCAGGUUUUGGCAGCUGCGAGUAAAGCUUCUGGGACUCCCCUGGGGGUCCAGGGGCUAAGACUCUGCUCCUGCUGCAGAGGGCACGGGUUCGAGUUCUGAUUGGGGAGCUAAGAUCUUUGCAUGCUGCAAGGUGUGACCGAAAAAAAGAAAAAUCUCGAAACAAACAAAACAGACACUUUUGGGUUGAAUAAAGCUGUUAUAAACAUCUAUGUGCAGGUUUUGGCGUAGGCAUACGGUUUAACAUCAUUUCGGCACAUACCUAGGAGUGAUGUUGCUGGAUCAUACGAUGAGCGUAUGUUUAGCUUUAUUCAGAAACUGCCUAACACCUCCGUGGUAGUGGUACCUUGUUGUUGAUUUAAUUUGUGUUUCCCUGAAGCCAUGACGUGGACCAUCUUUACCCACUUCUUUCUCUAUACCUGAGAUGGUUGGCAGUGAUGAAAUCCAUGUAUGACUUUUCCUCUCACCCGUAGGGGCUCUGAGAGGCGGGCUUCCUCUGUUCUCUAGUGAAAAUACUGCAAAGUAGCCAGCGUGCCUAAGAUCUGUUACAAGAAAGUAUGUUAAAAAUGUGUGGACUGUCUUCAUAUUUUAUUCCUAUUCUUUAUUUUAAUUUAUAGAAAUUUUCUUUGGGAAAUGAGAUGGUCUAGGUCUCAAAUGAAGAAGGGACUGGGGAAUGGACAAAGAAGCUCUCAGGACAAAGAAGCUCUGGGGGUCUCCCACACCGGGAUGAGCAAUGAAGGGAAUCCUGAGCAGGAGGUGAGAGUUCUCCGGUCUCAAGAGGCAAAGUGGAGAUCUUAGACGUGCUCGGGAGUGAGGCGCCAGCUCAGUUGAAGGCGGGGCCACAGUGCAAAUGAGGAAGCCAGCCCAAGUCAACAUACAGACCAUCCUGCAGGGCUCCUCUCCCCCGGUAUGGCAGUGCCAUCUAGUUAGAAGGUUCUUUC
rnacentral:lncRNA from 1 species